AAAUUCUCAACGAUGGAUGUCUUGGUUCCUACAACGAUGAAGAACGCAGCGAAGUGCGAUAAGCAGUGCGAAUUGCAGAACCGUGAGUCAUCAGAUUUUUGAACGCAACUGGCACCGUAUGUCUUCGGACAUCGGUACGCUUGGUCCAGUG
rnacentral:rRNA from 1 species